ensembl:lncRNA
AUCAGUGGCUAACUGCAAGCAUUGCAAAGCAAUCACUAUUUUGCUUCCCCUGCCUGCUAUUCGGUGGAGAGUGUGUGGUCCAAGUCUGGGUUUAAGGAUAUAAAACAUCUGUCUGAAAGGAUCUCUUUUCCAAGCUUAAAAGGAUAAACUUUCACACGCAACACCAGGGGCCCAGAAAAUCCAUCAAUCCAUCAUGACUUCUGCUGUGUUCAAAACAACUAGGGACUGGGAAAUCUCAGACUUCAGUGAAUUCAAGACAACUGGGAACUUGGGGAAAAACAAGCUCUGACUGGGAAAAUACGUUUUGAACAUUCAUCCAACUUGGAAUUCGAAGUUGGGAACUCUGGCCUCUUUCUAGAUCACCAACCUUGUUUUUUCAGAGUUCCCAGUUGUCUUGAAAGCACCAUAAAUCCAGAGAAUGCCAGACUGAUGACAAAGUUUGAUGACAAGUACCGCCGCGCCACCUUCCUGUUCAAAUUAACACAGCACAACAACGAAGAGCAAAGUUAAGGCUUCAACAUCUUGCUAAAUGUAUCUGACCUAACACCUAUCUGAAUUUCUGUGUCCAUUUUGAAAGUGCUGAACAAAAAGGCUUCCCCCGUCGCAGCUUGUUUGCUUGCACUUGCUUACACUUACAGCUAAGUGUUAAUGAUAUAAGAAUAAACAUUAGGAAUUUACUGAUUGUGUAAGGUUCAAAACUCAUUUUGGCAUACGUUAUAAUUGAAGGAGAAUGCGGUUCUUAUCGACUUAAACAAAUCCACAAGGAGUCAGUAGUAACCAUAUUUGUUUAAGCAAGUCAGUCAUAUCAGCUAUAGUUUUUAAAACGGCAGUAAAUGAGGCUGAAUGAACUGUUUCACUGCCAGACAAGGCGCUGCUGAUAACCAGGUGUAGCAGUGGUAAGGAUUCACUCUAUGGUGCUGAAAAGAAAGCUCUGCUGUUGGGCCAUCUUUAGGUAGGCCCUAACAGUUUGUGGGAACCGUUUGUCACCGUUAUAGUACAACUAAUGUGUUGUUAAAUGUUGUGUAGUGGCUUUGCUGGCAUGCAUCUAAAAAGCAAAAAGGUUAAGUUUGCCCCACCAAGAUUCACAUGUUAAAACUGCCUCUGCGCCAUGUGGGUGUCCUGACAUCAGAGUCAACCAGCUAAGACGAGGUAAACAAUUCAGCAUUUGUGAAGUUUUGGAAUGAUGUGUCUAUGAUGACUGAAAAGGGACGUAGAGAAUGUUGUUGAAUUUCUACAGCGAGCUAUGAUUCUAUUGAGACAUUCACAAUUGGGAUACAAAAAUGUGUCUAGUUAUGAAUGAUAUAUAAUCAAAGCAUCUCUCUG